rnacentral:miRNA from 1 species
UUAUUUCGGUCCCUGUUCAGGCGCCAUAUGUCGGGCUGAGCUUCACUGAUGGGAGACAGACGACCAGGGAC